rnacentral:rRNA from 1 species
AGAGUUUGAUCCUGGCUCAGGAUGAACGUUGGCGGUGUGCCUAAUACAUGCAAGUCGAACGGUGACGAUUUUGUAGCAAUACGAAUGAAAUCAUAGUGGCGAACGGGUGAGUAACGCGUUGGUGAUCUGCCUCGAAGUGUGGAAUAACUUCCCGAAAGGGUAGCUAAUACCGCAUAGUCUCUCAAGGUUUAGAAAAUUGAGAGUAAAGGAUUUAUUCGCUUCGAGAGGAGCCUGCGUCCCAUCAGCUAGUUGGUAGGGUAAUAGCCUACCAAGGCAAUGACGGGUAGGGGACCUGAGAGGGUGGCCCCCCACAAUGGAACUGAAACACGGUCCAUACACCUACGGGUGGCAGCAGUAGGGAAUAUUAGAAAUGGGCGAAAGCCUGAUCUAGCAACACCGCGUGUGCGAUGAAGGCCUUCGGGUUGUAAAGCACUUUUUGGAGGGAAUAGGAAGGAAGGUACCUCCAGAAUAAGUCUCGGCUAACUACGUGCCAGCAGCCGCGGUAACACGUAGGAGGCAAACGUUAUCCGGAUUCACUGGGCGUAAAGCGCGUGUAGGUGGUUCUGUAAGUAGGGCGUGAAAGCUCCCGGCUCAACUGGGAGAGGCCGUACUAAACUGCAGAGCUAGAGGAUGGUAGAGGGAGGUGGAAUUCCAGGUGUAGUGGUGAAAUGCGCAGAUAUCUGGAGGAACACCAGUGGCGAAGGCGGCCUCCUGGACCAUUCCUGACACUCAGACGCGAAAGCUAGGGUAGCAAACGGAAUUAGAGACUCCGGUAGUCCUAGCCCUAAACGAUGCAGACUAGGCGUCGGCGGUUUAAUCACCGUCGGUGUCCAAGCUAACGCGAUAAGUCUGCCGCCUGAGGACUACGGCCGCAAGGCUAAAACUCAAAGGAAUUGACGGGGGCCCGCACAAGCAGUGGAGUAUGUGGUUUAAUUCGAAGCAACGCGAAGAACCUUACCAGGGCUUGACAUCCUCUGAUCGGUGUAGAGAUACACUUUCCCUUCGGGGCAGAGAGACAGGUGGUGCAUGGUUGUCGUCAGCUCGUGUCGUGAGAUGUUCGGUUAAGUCCGGCAACGAGCGCAACCCUUAUCCUUAGUUGCCAUCAUUAAGUUGGGGACUCUAGGGAGACUGCCAGCGUAGAAAGCUGGAGGAAGGUGGGGACGACGUCAAGUCAUCAUGGUCCUUAUGUCCAGGGCUACACACGUGCUACAAUGGUUGGUACAAAGAGCAGCGAGACAGUAAUGUUAAGCGAAUCUCAUAAAGCCAAUCUCAGUUCGGAUUGAGGUCUGCAACUCGACCUCAUGAAGUCGGAAUCGCUAGUAAUCGUGCGUCAGAACAGCACGGUGAAUACGUUCCCGGGUCUUGUACACACCGCCCGUCA